GGUGGGGUGACUGCGUACCUUUUGUAUAAUGGGUCAGCGACUUAUAUUCUGUAGCAAGGUUAACCGUAUAGGGGAGCCGAAGGGAAACCGAGUCUUAACUGGGCGUUAAGUUGCAGGGUAUAGACCCGAAACCCGGUGAUCUAGCCAUGGGCAGGUUGAAGGUUGGGUAACACUAACUGGAGGACCGAACCGACUAAUGUUGAAAAAUUAGCGGAUGACUUGUGGCUGGGGGUGAAAGGCCAAUCAAACCGGGAGAUAGCUGGUUCUCCCCGAAAGCUAUUUAGGUAGCGCCUCGUGAACUCAUCUUCGGGGGUAGAGCACUGUUUCGGCUAGGGGGUCAUCCCGACUUACCAACCCGAUGCAAACUGCGAAUACCGAAGAAUGUUAUCACGGGAGACACACGGCGGGUGCUAACGUCCGUCGUGAAGAGGGAAACAACCCAGACCGCCAGCUAAGGUCCCAAAGUCACAGUUAAGUGGGAAACGAUGUGGGAAGGCUCAGACAGCCAGGAUGUUGGCUUAGAAGCAGCCAUCAUUUAAAGAAAGCGUAAUAGCUCACUGGUCGAGUCGGCCUGCGCGGAAGAUGUAACGGGGCUAAACUGUGCACCGAAGCUGCGGCAGCGACGCUUAUGCGUUGUUGGGUAGGGGAGCGUUCUGUAAGCCUGCGAAGGUGUCCUGUGAGGGAUGCUGGAGGUAUCAGAAGUGCGAAUGCUGACAUAAGUAACGAUAA
rnacentral:rRNA from 2 species